rnacentral:rRNA from 1 species
GAUGAACGCUGGCGGCGUGCCUAACACAUGCAAGUCGAACGGAGUCGUUUUGGAAAAUCCUUCGGGAUUGGAAUUCUCGACUUAGUGGCGGACGGGUGAGUAACGCGUGAGCAAUCUGCCUUUAAGAGGGGGAUAACAGUCGGAAACGGCUGCUAAUACCGCAUAAAGCAUCAAAUUCGCAUGUUUUUGAUGCCAAAGGAGCAAUCCGCUUUUAGAUGAGCUCGCGUCUGAUUAGCUAGUUGGCGGGGUAACGGCCCACCAAGGCGACGAUCAGUAGCCGGACUGAGAGGUUGAACGGCAACAUUGGGACUGAGACACGGCCCAGACUCCUACGGGAGGCAGCAGUGGGGAAUAUUGCGCAAUGGGGGAAACCCUGACGCAGCAACGCCGCGUGAUUGAAGAAGGCCUUCGGGUUGUAAGGAUCUUUAAUCAGGGACGAAACAAAUGACGGUACCUGAAGAAUAAGCUCCGGCUAACUACGUGCCAGCAGCCGCGGUAAAAC